rnacentral:sRNA from 1 species
CUCGCGAGCCGCGGUGGCGGCUGGUGGCCACCGCAGGGAAAUAAAGCCAUUGCUCCAGCAGCAAAAUGGCUCAAAGUCCAACCAAAGCCUGGCCUUUUCCUGAGUCUAGGCUGUGGGCGACUCGCUAGCACUGCCCUGGGCCUCCAAGCUCCCUGCUCGCUGAGCCCAGCGCUGACACUCACAGGAGCUGCGUUCGCCGGAUCCUCUGAGAGGCUCUGCAACGAUCCCGAUCCAAUUCAGCAGCGUUUUAAAAGGAAACUCGUUCAGGGCCACUGAAAAGUCAGGGGAGGCUCAGAUGUUAUUUCCCACGGAUUCCUGUUUUUCCGGAAGCGUUGUCACCAAAUAAAUAUGAGACUGUUAAUUUGGAAAAACAAUUAGCCCCUACCAAAAAAAAAAAAAAAAAAAAAAAAAAA